GCUAGGUGUGGUGGCUCACGCCUGUAAUCCCAGCACUUUGGGAGGCUGAGGUGGGCGGAUCACCUGAGGUCAGGAGUUCGAUAUCAGCUUGACCAACAUGGUGAAACCCCAUCUCUA
rfam:Macaca mulatta chromosome 1, whole genome shotgun sequence.